rnacentral:rRNA from 1 species
ACGGGGCGCAGCAGGCGCGAAAACUUCGCACUGUGCGAAAGCACGACGAGGGAAUCCCAAGUGCUAGCUCGUAAGAGUUAGCUGUUUUUCUGUCUAAAAAACAGAGAGAGUAAGGGCUGGGUAAGACGGGUGCCAGCCGCCGCGGUAAUACCUGCAGCCCAAGUGGUGGCCGCUAUUAUUGGGCCUAAAACGUCCGUAGCCGGUUCUAUAAAUGCCUGGGUAAAUCGUACGGCUUAACCGUACGAAUUCCGGGUAGACUGUUCAACUUGGGACCGGGAGAGGCUAGAGGUACUCCUGGGGUAGAGGUGAAAUUCUGUAAUCCUAGGGGGACCACCAGUGGCGAAGGCGUCUAGCUAGAACGGGUCUGACGGUGAGGGACGAAGCCCUGGGGCGCAAACGGGAUUAGAUACCCCGGUAGUCCAGGGUGUAAACGCUGCUCGCUUGAUGUUAGUCGGGCUCCGAGCCCGACUAGUGUCGGAGAGAAGUUGUUAAGCGAGCUGCCUGGGGAGUACGGUCGCAAGACUGAAACU